UUUAGGAUGUAAAAGAAAUAAAAAGACUAGAGAACUACGAGCUGUAAGAGCUUAAAACUCAAAAGGCUUGGCGGUGCUGUAUUAUAGUUUAGGGGAGCUUGCCUCAUAAGCGAUGAUCCACGAGAGACCUGACCUUUUCUAGUAUAUGUCUGUAUACCGUCGUCGUCAGUCAACUUUUUAGAAGACAGAAGUAGGCAAGCAGAUUCUUAACCGAAGAAGCAUAAUCAUAUAUUUUUAAGAUAUAUAUCUAUAUAUAUAUAUAUAUAUAUAUAUAUAUAUCUUUGUAAUAUAUGGUCUUAGCAUGGAUGUCAGAUCGUGGUGCAGCUAAUGAAAGGGGGUAAGGUGAGCUACAAUAAGAGAUAUAUUAUACGGAAGAUACACCUGCAAAGGGUAGAUGAAGGUGGACUUAAAAGUAAAAACAAGAAAUAAAAAUUGGUUGAAUAAGUGAAUCAGUGCGUACAUAUCGCCCGUCGCUCUCGUUAGAAAAUGAGAUAAGUCGUAACAAAGUAGGGGUACUGGAAAGUGUUCCU
rnacentral:rRNA from 1 species